rnacentral:rRNA from 1 species
UACGUAGGUGGUAAGCGUUGUCCGGAUUUACUGGGCGUAAAGAGCGCGCAGGCGGUCGAUCAAGUCGCGUGUGAAAGCCCCCGGCUCAACUGGGGAGGGUCACGCGAUACUGAUCGACUCGAAGGCAGGAGAGGGUAGUGGAAUUCCCGGUGUAGUGGUGAAAUGCGUAGAUAUCGGGAGGAACACCAGUGGCGAAGGCGACUACCUGGCCUGUUUCUUGACGCUGAGGCGCGAAAGCUAGGGGAGCAAACGGG